GAUGAACGCUGGCGGUGUGCCUAAUACAUGCGAGUCGAGCGAACAGACGAGGAGCUUACUCCUCUGACGUUAGCGGCGGACGGGUGAGUAACACGUGGAUAACCUACCAAUAAGACUGGGAUAACUUCGGGAAACCGGAGCUAAUACCGGAUAACAUGUUGAACCGCAUGGUUCAACAGUGAAAGACGGUCUUGCUGUCACUUAUAGAUGGAUCCGCGUCGCAUUAGCUAGUUGGUAAGGUAACGGCUUACCAAGGCAACGAUGCGUAGCCGACCUGAGAGGGUGAUCGGCCACACUGGAACUGAGACACGGUCCAGACUCCUACGGGAGGCAGCAGUAGGGAAUCUUCCGCAAUGGGCGAAAGCCUGACGGAGCAACGCCGCGUGAGUGAAGAAGGUCUUCGGAUCGUAAAACUCUGUUAUUAGGGAAGAACAAAUGUGUAAGUAACUAUGCACGUCUUGACGGUACCUAAUCAGAAAGCCACGGCUAACUACGUG
rnacentral:rRNA from 1 species